AACUUUUGGCAAUGGAUCUAUUGCCUCUCGCAUCGCUGAAGAACGCAGCGAAAUGCGAUAAGUAAUGUGAAUUGCAGAAUUCAGUGAAUCAUCGAAUCUUUGAACGCACCUUGCGCUCCUUGGUAUUCCGAGGAGCAUGCCUGUUUGCGUGUCAUUAAUAUAUAUAUCAAACCCUCUCUUGUCGAGUGGUUUGGAUGUGGGGGUUUGCUGGCCUCUUGAAGGGUUCAGCUCCUCUGAAAUGCAUUAGCAGAACAACAACCUGUUCAUUGGUGUGAUAACUAUCUACGCUAUUGAAUGUGAGGGUAAAAGUUCAGCUUUCUAACCGUCCAUGGACAAUUUAUCAUUAAUGUGACCUCAAAUCAGGUAGGACUACCCGCUGAACUUAAGCAUAUCAAUAAGCGGAGGCU
rnacentral:misc_RNA from 1 species